GACGAAGGAUGCAAGCGUUAUCCGGAUUCAUUGGGUUUAAAGGGCGCGUAGGUGGCCCAGUAAGUCAGUGGUGAAAUCUCCUCGCUUAACGAGGAAAUUGCCAUUGAUACUGCAGGGCUUGAGUACAGUUGCCGUUGGCGGAAUAUGACAUGUAGUGGUGAAAUACUUAGAUAUGUCAUAGAACACCGAUUGCGAAGGCAGCUGACGAAACUGUAACUGACACUGAGGCUCGAAAGUGUGGGGAUCAAACAGG
rnacentral:rRNA from 1 species